rnacentral:rRNA from 1 species
CACGUAGGGGGCGAGCGUUGUCCGGAUUUAUUGGGCGUAAAGAGCUCGUAGGCGGCUCGGUAAGUCAGGUGUGAAACCUCCAGGCUCAACCUGGAGACGCCACCUGAUACUGCCGUGGCUAGAGUCCGGUAGAGGAGCGUAGAAUUCCUGGUGUAGCGGUGAAAUGCGCAGAUAUCAGGAGGAACACCGGUGGCGAAGGCGGGUCUCUGGGCCGUCACUGACGCUGAGGAGCGAAAGCGUGGGGAGCGAACAGG